UUGACUUGAGUUAUUUUCAUUCAAUUUUAAGGUACAGUGAUCUGACGGUCUCUUUUGCAGCAUGUCUGUCGUGACUAUGAGAGAGAAUAUUCAAAGAGUAGAGAAAAGGAAAGAGAAAAGGGGCGUGAUAAGGAUAUGGACAGGGACAGAGAUAGAGAUAGGAGGAGAAGCAAGGACAAAGAUAGGGAAAGGGACAGAGACAGGAACAGGGAAUAGGGAAUAGGGAAAAGGGACCGAGAUAGGGAAAGAGAAAGGUCUCGAGACAGGGAUCAUGAUCGUCGUCAUAGGGACCGCCACAGGGAUCGUGAGAGAAGCGAGCAGAGGAGAGAUAAGGACGACGUCGAUGAUGAUCACUACCGUGUUCGGGACUUUGAUAGGUAUAAAUUUUUUAGCUAUUUAUUUACUUGUAAAAUGAAUGUUCUGUUGUGUACUGUCAACUGAGUUAGAUGCAAACUGGAAUUUUUUUAUAUUGAUAGUAACUUGUGUGUGAAUUAAUCGGGGGAAGCUUGUCCGUAUUUUAAAUUUCUUUAUUCUUGAAACAAAUCCUUUGAAUUCUUGCGCUAUUAUUUCUGUUAUGAUUAUUAUGAUUAUUUAUGAAUUGAUUUUACAGGUGGAGGGAUUAUGACAGAGACAGGGAGCAUAGGCAUUAGGCGCUAGUCUCGGUCUUGUUUGAGGGGUAGAUCUGAGCACAGAUUGAGUUCACAUUCUCGAUCACGGUCAAAAAGGUAGUUGUUUGAGAGAUUAGUAUGUGAAUGUGGAUCAAAAAAUGCGUUUGAAUCUUAAGGGCUCCUAACUCUUGUUGCAAAUCCUAUAUUUGGAUUAAACACUUUGUUGACUUUUAUUUUCAUUCAAAUUUUGUUUUGCCUUACUCUUGGGUCUCUUUAUUGACCAAAUUAUUGUCAAGUCAUUUUGUUGGCUUGAGUCAUACUAUUUGACAAUGUAGGAUGUAGCUGCAUGGAUUCCAUUAGUUUCAGUCUUAGAACUAAAGGUCUGACUGAUUCCAUUAGUUUCAGGCUUAGAUCUAAUUCAUCAUUUGGCAUAACAAAUCAAAAAUAAACAGACAGAAUAAUUCAACUUACAGAGUAAUCAAGAAGCUCAAACAGUGUAAUUAUUAAGAAGCUCAAAGUUUGAAUAAUUCAUAGAAUAAUUGAAUUCAAAUAAUUCAUAGAAUAAUUCAACUUACACAGUAAUCAAGCAGCUUAAAGUUGAGAUCUGAAUUGGAGGGAAAUCAGAGCAAAUGUGAUAUGCACUGUAUCGGUGAUCUGAAAAGUUGAGAUCUGAAUUAAUUUGCACUGUGUCGGUGAUCUGAAAUGUUGAGAUCUGAAAUGUUGAGAUCUGAAUUGGAGGGAAAUCAGAGCAAAUGUAGUGAUCUGAAAAGUUGAACCCGAUCCGACCCAAUCACAAAUGGAUUUACUAUUUGGAAAUCAGAAUGUUCUCUUCGAAAGAUUAUAUAUAUGUUUUGGUUUUCCAAAACUACUAAAACCUGAACCCAGUGGGAACUGUAGCAAUUGCAUCGUAAAAAUGGAGCAUAUCUAGAUAGGUAAGUUGCGGAGCUUAGGCAUAAGUCAAUAGUCGCAUCGUUAAGGAGGUUUUUUCACCCCCUCUUUUGAAAGGUUUAAUGGGUAAUUUAAGGGUAUGUAAUUUAUUAUUAUUAUUAUUUUUUUGUAGUGAAGAAAUUUACUAACUAUUUGUAUGUAUGCAACCUUGAUUUCUGUUUGUAUGUGUUUUCCUGAGGCUUAAUUUGGUGUGUUUUACUUGUAUGCACUUCACCCUUAUCUUAAUUUGUUCGUAUUUUCCCUUUUAAACAGACCAGUGGACAAUUUCAAGUGCGGAAGUACCAUGUCAAUGUAAUGAACUAAAUAAUAGCCCAAUACAAAUGGGCGUUAUUGGCAAAGACUUUAUAGUUUUUAACCAAAGAGGGUUUACUCUUCCUAGUGAAAUGCAGUCAUGAGCAGCGAUGGAGGCUUCCCCGAGUCCAAUACCCCAACAUGGUAUAAUCGAAUUGAAGGCCCGGUCCAUAAAGCCUACAAAACUGGCUCCAUCACGGGGUUAUGGCUCAUACCAUGAUUUGUGGAUUUUAUUUUAUCUUAUUUUUUUUGCCAAAGAUUUUUCUCAUUUGUUUAUAGCAUAUGAUUUGGAUCAUGAUUUUUCUAUUUGGUUGUUAAAUUUACAUUGUAUAUGUAAUGUUUCAAGAUUUUUUCAAUUUAGGGCCCAUUGAUCACCAUUUUAAUUUUAGUUUUUAGUGUUUAUUUUUUGUGCUUAAGAGUAUAGAGGAAAAUGAGU
rnacentral:lncRNA from 1 species